CAUUUUCAACUGCUUUAUUACUGCAGCUGAGAAUAGGGCUUUGCGCUGACUGGCAUUUAGCUGCUGAAGUUUUCUGGACUGGCAUUUGCAUUGGGGUAUCCAGGACAAGUGUGGGUUUUGAAGGGAAGGGAACGAGGGGGAGAAGAAGGAAAGAAAGAGCCGUCUGCAGGGUGAUUGGCAUUCUGCGUGGUGAACAGCAGGACCUAGACUGACCUUUGGCAUUGGGGUAACAGUGGCUGAUGCUACUGGUGGAGGAACCACACCUUGAGAAGCACUGAUCUAGGCACCUUCCACUCCUCUCAGUCUAUAGAUGGGAAAAUGGAAACUCGGAGAGGUUGGUGCUUACCCCACGUCUCAAGUUUCCUGCUCCUGGAGAAGCAAGACACCAGGAGAUUAUGGGGUUUCCCUCUCAGUAGCUGGAUCUUUCUGAAAGUGUUUUUCUUUGAAGGCAACAUAACUAGGAAGAAAUAAAUGGCUUCGGGCAUGCUGGACUUGCGAACACAAAUUUAUGAAGUGACAGCUAGUGUCAUGAUGCUCCUGCCUCAAGAUGACCUCCCAACCCAGAGCCCGGCUGCUUGGGUGAAACAUUUUCCCCUCCCUGAAUUGUCUUGCAAAAUGUAAACACACAUUGUCACUCCGAAGGAGUUAGUUUAUCAGAUUUCUUCCCUUGGUGAUAGGAGGGAUCUAGGGCAGGCUGAGCAGGGAGGUGAGGUGGAGGAUGACAGAAGCA
rnacentral:lncRNA from 1 species